GACGAACGCUGGCGGCGUGCCUAAUACAUGCAAGUCGAGCGAAGCGGCGGAUGGGUGCGUAACGCGUGGGUAACCUGCCCUUACGUCUGGGCUAAAAUUUGGAAAAAGAUGCUAAUACCGGAUACUAACGGAUGGACCUGCGAUGGAUUAGCUAGUUGGUAAGUUAACGGCUUACCAAGGCGAUGAUGCAUAUCCGAGUUGGGAGACUGGUCGGCCACAGUGGGACUGAGCCACGGCCCAAACGCCUACGGGAGGCAGCAGUAGCGAAUCUUCCACCAUGGACGAAAGGCUGAUGGAGCAACGCCGCGUGAGUUACGAAGGUUUUCGGAGCGUAAAGCUCUGUUUUUGGUGAAGCGGUAAUCAACCAGAAAGUCACGGCUAACUACGUGCCAGCAGCCGCGGUAAUAC
rnacentral:rRNA from 1 species